UACGUAGGGGGCUAGCGUUGUCCGGAAUCAUUGGGCGUAAAGCGCGCGUAGGCGGCCCAGUAAGUCCGUUGUAAAAGUCAAAGGCUCAACCUUUGAAAGCCGAUGGAUACUGCUGGGCUAGAGUCCGGAAGAGGCGAGUGGAAUUCCUGGUGUAGCGGUGGAAUGCGCAGAUAUCAGGAGGAACACCGAUAGCGAAGGCAGCUCGCUGGGACGGUACUGACGCUGAGCGCGAAAGCGUGGGGAGCGAACAGG
rnacentral:rRNA from 1 species